GUGAGACUCCAUCUCAAAAAAAAAAAAAAAAAAAAAAGGAGUGCUGGGACUCUGUGCGGGGAGGAGGGACGCUCCUGCUCUAUGCCAACCCCCGCCCCAUCCCUGGCAGAUAUCCAGGUUACAGAAUGAGAGUCUGUAGUGCGACAAAAAGAAUGAGCCACUGGUACUCCACACCCAUCAGCCUGCUGGAUCUCCCGGGGAGUUACGCUGGUGAGCGAAACCAAUCCCAAAGAUCACAGACGGGGGAUCAAUUUCUCCAAAGGACAGAGGAGAGAAAUGCAGGACUCAUUAGCUGUGCCCAGGAGUUAGGGAGGCGGCGGGUGUGUGGCUAUAAAAACGCAACCCGGGGGGUGCCUGUGAAGGAAAUCUGCGUCCCGCAGAACGCAACACGCCG
rnacentral:lncRNA from 10 species